rnacentral:snoRNA from 1 species
AAUCUCAAACUCUGAUCUGCUCAUUCAAACUCUGAAUGGUUUGGAUUCUGAAUAUAAUCCUGUAGUUGUCAAAUUAUCUGAUCAAACUACACUCAGUUGGGUUGAUCUACAGGCUCAAUUGCUAACAUUUGACA